rnacentral:rRNA from 3 species
GUAGGUGAACCUGCAGAAGGAUCAUUG